ensembl:snoRNA U8 U8 small nucleolar RNA
GCGUCAGGUAGGAGAAUCCUUGGCUGUUCCUCUCACUAGAAGGCAGAGAAAGCAUGAUGAUUUGAGUUGCAUGAUUCGUGAUCAAUAUCCCUGCGUGAUUAAGGCUUGCAAUACUCUUAAUUGCUCCUAUAUGAU